CCCGGGCCCAUGCAAACACAAAUCAAACAAAACCACAAAAAAAUGAAAAAUACAAUAAUAUAAAAAUCCAAAUGUCAAUAGUAGCCCAGUUUAUCGUCCAAUUACAAAAAUUAUGGCCCAACUACUAGAAUAGGCCAAAAAAGCCCAAAUUAUCAAUGUUCUAGAACCCUAGCAGCAAGGAACACAGUAGCCUCCAGCACUACCCUGAAUGGCGCCUCCACGUCGACACCACCAGCAGCCUCAGUACGCGCCAGCUACCCCCACCACGUUGCCUCCGUACCUGCAAAUAAAGACAAGAAAGGACGACCACAUCAGCAAUAGCAAAAAAACAAGCAGAGUAAUGAAAAAAGAAAAGGAAUUGUAUUUUUCUUUGUCGUUUUAUUUGGUUUGGCUAUAAAGCCAAGAACCUUUCCUUUUGUAAAAACUACGAACGGACACCAAGCAAUCGAGUAUAAAAAAAUAUUUUUGAAGGUGGUUCAUUUUUUCGCUGUUCUGAUUCUUAUUUUUUCUCUUUAUUUUCUCGCCUAGUUUUUAUCCUUUUUUACUAAGAUACACACACAAAAAGAGGGAAUCCCUUUUUUACGCAUACAUGUAUAGAAAUUAAGAGAAAGGAAUCAAAAAAAAAGAGUUUUUCGGUAGAAGGUGAUUAUCCUUCUUUUGUUCUUUUUGUUGGAGCAGGAUUUGCAUCGUUCUUUGGUGAUUUUCUUUCUUUCAUUUCUCAUUUUAAUAUAGAAUAAAAAGUAUUGGGAUAAAGAAACACUCACCUGAAUCAAUCGGGUUGUCAGAGUUGCAUCUUCCUCUUCGAAAUUAAGCCCAACUCAUUGCUAGUCAUCUAUUACAAUGAUAGUGUGGCGAUUGGGGGAGAGUUUUGGUCGGCCAAAUGAGAGAUUAAAAAGAGGCUAGGGUUUCAAUUUCAAAAGGACCGAUUGUUU
rnacentral:lncRNA from 1 species